AAAAAAAAAAAAAAGGAAAAAAGAAAAGUCAUACUUUAUGGCCUGGAGAGAUGGCUCUGUGGGUAAGAGCACCGACACCUCUUCCAAAGGUCAUGAGUUCAAAUCCCAGCACCCACAUGGCGGCUCACAACCAUCUGUAAAGAGAUCUGAUGUCCUCUCCUGGUGUCUCUGAAGACAGCUACAGUGUACUUACAUAUAAUAAAUAAAUCUUUAAAAAAAAAUUAAUUAUGGUCAGGCGGUGGCACACACCUGCCGGGGAGACGGACUAACCCCCAGAAAGAGACAGUUUUGCUCUGGUCCAGUGGGGAGAAGCUGACUAGAAGCCACUGCAGGCUCUGCGGUGCUCAGGCUCCUGGCUGUUCCGGCUCCUGCUUGCUUCCUCCUGUGGGCAGGAGGCUCGCUCCCCACCGUUCCUCAGCUAGCAGGGCCAGAGGCCACACCAGCCAAGUGACACACCUGAGAUCCUUGGAAGGCAGCCACUAGGGCCCAGGAGGAAGUUCUUACAGCAACUUACCCGUCACUCAGGGGUCAGAAGGACCGGGGCUCCUCCAGCCCCUUGCCUCAGUCCGUUGUCCAGGUGGAAGAAAAACCUGACAACAGAGGAAGCCACGCCCACCCUCCCUGCUGCAGCCUGGGCCCUGCUAGCCUGAGCUGAGAGGCCAGUGAAGUUCAGUGUUCACAUGUUCUGUGGCUCCAGGCCUGAGAGUGAAGCCAAAUAGUUUCCCUGUGCAGAUGCCUCUCAAAGUUCAGAGCAGUUGGAGUGCCUUGUUUUCCCCGGCUGAAAUGCAGAACUGAGAACCACAGACUCCUCCAGAAGGCUCCUCCGCUGGCUGCUGUGGACAGAGGCAGGAUUCAGCCUGCAGAGCUGCAGGGAAGAGCACACUAAGGAGACACUCGGAUCCCGAGACCCUACCACAAUAACCUAGUUACUCCCACAACUGACCUUUGAAAGUCAGGGUCUUGCUAUGUGGCCGGGCAUGGCUUAGAACGCUCUAUACAGACCAGUCUAGCCUAGAAUUCACAGACGUUCGCCUGCCUGUUCCUUUCAUGUAGAGACUAAAGGUGUGGGCCCCCAAGUGGGUGCUGGAUGGAGCCCAGGGAACUGUGAGGGUGGUGCCCACCGAUUUGCAGUCCCCCCCACCCCCACCCUCGUUUGGGGAGCUGGGCUCAAGCGGUCUUUAUGCUUCAGUUGCUGAGGGUCCAGGACAUUGUUCUUUUCGGAGAAGUCACCUGAAGGCUCAGGGCCACCCUUGGUAGGGGGCAGGAAGGCGAAGGGUUGUUGUCCACUAUUCCCCGUGUUUCUCCUUAUCUCUGGGUCACUGGACCAUACUCCAGGAUGUCUGCUUCUGUCCCCACACCCUGGCCCCCUACCACCUACCCAACACCCACACUUUUGUCUUCUCAGCCUUCUGCCCAU